UACGGAGGAUGCAAGCGUUAUCCGGAUUCAUUGGGUUUAAAGGGUGCGCAGGCGGAGAGAUAAGUCAGUGGCGAAAAACUGCCGCUCAACGGUAGUCUUGCCAUUGAUACUGUCUUUCUUGAGUAUGGAUGAGGUAGGCGGAAUGUGCAGUGUAGCGGUGAAAUGCAUAGAUAUUGCACGGAACACCAAUUGCGAAGGCAGCUUACUGGACCAUUACUGACGCUCAGGCACGAAAGCGUGGGGAU
rnacentral:rRNA from 1 species